UCUUGUUCUCGUUCUCGUUCGUCUCUGUAGUGAGUGUAAAAGUCUCUCCGCUCCGCAAGCUCUCUCGUUUCGUUGGUUGGUGGUGGACCAGGAUUCUUCUAAAACUAGUUUCUGUUUUGGAUGACGGUGGCUUUGAUGGAAACGCUUUUUUUCUGUGCCACGUCUUCAGGGGUUUUGUUCUGACUCUCUAGUUCAGAACAUCAUCUUCACUCGUUCGUUUCGUUUCGUUUGUGGUGGUAACUGGUUUUGGAUUAUAUCAGGUAUUGGUCGAUGCUUUGAUAGAUCAGUGACGGCUUUGAUGGACUCCUUCUUCUGUGUGCUACGUCUUCAUUGAUCGUGUGAUGGCUUUGACUGAUCCUUGUCACUCUCAUUCAAUUUUGCUCUUCCGGGUAUUGGAUGAUGCUUUUAUCGAUCAGUGAUGGCUUUGAUGGACUCCUUCUUCUCUGUGCUCUACGUCUUCAUGGAUCGAGGAGGCACCUGGAUUACUGACUGUGUGGGAGGUUCAAAUAGAAAACAUUGUGGGAGUUAAGUUAAACUUUCAGAUGUUCUUGUUGUGUACAAACACAUUCAGAUGAGAGAUGCUCCACAAAUUCUUUCGUAGACGAGAGUUUGUUUUUAAGCUUUGUCCUUUGAUGCAGAUCCUCGAUGCAACGGUGGUGUGUUGGAAGUGAAUCAUGGAGGCUCCUCGGCUCUUCCUACGAUUGUGGUGGUGGUUCAUGCACUGUGGGAUUGCUCUUGUUGAGUCUUAUCUCCUCGUAUUUGUACGUUACUUUUGAUUGCUACAUCUUCUAAUGACUUUCUGAGAUUUGCGAUUGUCAGAUUGUGGAGGAUGCUUUGCUCUGUGGGUGAUGGUUCUGAUGGAUCCUUGUUUUCUCUGCGCUACCUCUUCAGACCAACGAGGCCCCGAGAUUAUUGUGCUAUGUGGGUGAUGGUUCUGAUGGAUCCUUGUCUUCUCUGAGCUACAACUUCAGACCAUCGAGAUUAAUGCGUGUGAGGGUUUGAAGAGAAGAAAGAAACAUUGUGAAAGUGAAUGGUUUGCGUAUGAAGGAGAUUGUGUCUGCUGCUUUGUUUGACACUACUUGCGUAUGAAAAGCACUUGUCUUAUCGAUUGUCCACCAGGAUGCAAGCAAGGUUAUUGGUGGUGGGAUGAGAGGUAUGACUGGAUUGCUAUGAGAAACCUCAUUGCUUGCAUCCAUAUGAGGGUAUACACUUUGAGGGGCUUGUCUCGUGUUUGAUGCUAAUAGAUUGGUUAUCUGAUCUGUGUAACCAGGGACAACAAUCUUGCUCAGCAAUUCAGAUGCAGAGCUCUACCGACCUGGUAUGCAGCACUUCUCAAGCUGCUUUUUUUGCAGGUUUUCGAGGACACGUUUGGAAGACUCGAUUUACGAAAACACAUCACAGCCUCCGUAUCUUUUCCGGCACUGCCUUAGCUCAGUUUUUUAAUGAUGAUGAUACCGGAGAUUUCUUGCUAUUUUGAUCUGGAGCUUGGGAAAUCAAGACUAAACGUUUUGCUGCAAGAGAGUGUAAUGGUGGACGACAUGAUUGACUCUAAGUCUGUAUCUUCUGCAUAUAAAUCUGUUUUGGAUAAUGCGUUUAUCAAUCAAUCUAUGAUGGCUUUGAUGGACACGCAUGAACUAGUCUCUGGUUUUGGAUGAUGCUUUAAUCAAUCAAUGAUGAUGGCUUUUUCAAUGGACACGCUUCUUCUGUGUGCUAUGUCUUAAUGAAUCGUGUGAUGGCUUUGACUGAUCCUUGUCACUCUCAUUCAAUGUUGCUCUUCCGGGUAUUGGAUGAUGCUUUUAGCGAUCAGUGAUGGCUUUGAUGAACUCCUUCUUCUCUAUGCUACGUCUUCAUUUGUUUUGUUCUUCCUCUUAAGUCUUAAUUCAUCUUUUACUUUUUUUCCAUAUAUAAGUGAAUUUUAACAUCUCAGUCUAUCUUCUGAUGCAGAUCGAGGAGGCACCUGGAUUACUGACUAUGUGGGAGGUUCAAAUAGAAAACAUUGUGGGAGUUAAACUUUCAGAUGUUCUUGCUGUGUACACACACAUUC